UAUUCCGAUUUCUUUUCAUCA
ensembl:piRNA 21ur-15198 ncRNA